GAUGAACGCUGGCGGCGUGCUUAACACAUGCAAGUCGAGCGGGCAAUUUAUCUAGCACUGAUUACUUCAAAUGGAAAUCAUAAGUGUAAUCAUGAAUUUCUACCUUUAAUAAAGAAAAAAGAAAUUCAUGUACGCAAAUAGUGAUAACACAUUUUAGUGGAGUGAUGAGUGCUGGAUAAAUUGCUAGCGGCGGACGGGUGCGUAACACGUGGGUAACCUGCCCCUAUCACUGGGAUAACACACUGAAAAGUGUGCUAAUACCAGAUAACAUAAGCUUUUGGCAUCAUUAGCUUAUCAAAGAAUUUCGGAUAGGGAUGGGCCCGCGUCUGAUUAGCUUGUUGGUGAGGUAACGGCUCACCAAGGCAACGAUCAGUAGCCGACCUGAGAGGGUGAUCGGCCACACUGGAACUGAGACACGGUCCAGACUCCUACGGGAGGCAGCAGUGGGGAAUAUUGCACAAU
rnacentral:rRNA from 1 species